AGAAUUAUAGGAGUUUAAAAUAUGGAACCCUUUGUAAAUGUGAUAUUUUUUUUGCUGAUCAGCAUUAAAAUUUAUACGGUCGCACUGAACAUGGAUCUUACUGCGUGUCUUGCAGAUCUCUCAAUGUUCGUUUUGUUCCUGUUUAUUUUUGGACUAGUUGUUUUGAGGUUUCGACGUUUCACGUUUCCCAUAAUUGGCUAGAGACUGGUCUCAUUGUUGAAAUUGUGGUUGUGGUUGUGGCAUAAUUUAAUGGAUGGAUGACGGCAUGGAUGGAAUGGAAUGGAAUGAAAGGGGGAAAAUAGGGAACUGAGGGUAUGGGGGAAGGGAGGAUAUAGGGUAUAUACAUUUUUUUUUUUU
rnacentral:sRNA from 1 species